rnacentral:lncRNA from 1 species
AGAGCGGCUCUACUUUUCGUAAUGAAGUUAGACAUCUAGUUAUUUAAUAUAUCAUUGGUUUUAUCUAAUGAUUCUAAUUUCAAUCAAAUACAAUUCACCAUGUUUAAAUAGUGAAUUUUAAGUCUUGGUUGUUGCCUUUGUUUUUUGCGUUAUUUACCGAGAACAUUUUGUGAAACCUUUCUACAUUGUUUUCUCUGGAAUAUUCGUUAUACUGGAUUUUCCAGAUGGAUUUAAUUUCUUUUAGAAUAUUUUCAACUAUUCAUUUUGCAGCACAUGAAUAGUUGAAAUUAUGAUUUUCUUUUAGCUUGGAGUUUCUACAUUUCCAAAGUAUUCAUAAGUGGUAAUAUCAGUUCGUUAUGAUUUUUGAAAUAAAGUUUUUUCUAGGCAGGUUCUAUAUAUUAAUUAAAAAGAGGGCGUGUACCUAAUUAAAAGGUUUUGAUAAAUGUUUCUUAUAGAUUUCCACACAGUUCUCGCCUUACUGCAGAAGAUAAACGGAUGAAGAGUGUCCUUAACUUAGUUGCAUGCUUUGCAACAAGCGUUUUCAGGGAAUUGCACGCGUUUAAUUUUCCAUUUUAACUUUUCUAAGGUGGAAAGGGAGUUGGUAAUUUUUCGCCAUAACGUGUUCUUACUUGUUACCUGUGCAUCUUACUUGUUUCCUGUUCUCCCAGAUUUGUUUCCAAGGAAGUGGUUUUUGGAAUAUUGCUUUCCAUGUUUAUUGAAUUAGUUUUAGACUUUUGUUUUCUCCUAGUUGAUAAAUAUGAGUGUAAAUGUUUUUUGAUGUUUUUUGUUUGAUUUUAAAGAUUUCAGUGUUGUUCCUAUUUUUUUAAAUAACGUCUUUAUAAAAAUAGGGUAGCAUGCUUUUUCAAGGGAGAAACAUUUGCGGGUAUUUAGUUUUGGCUAAGUAUGUUAGAGAGUAUGCUAAAUAAUAAUUUUGUAAGAAAUAUCCCUCUUGACAUUCGAUUGUUUCUUUUAUUUGAAAUAUGUAUUUUAUUCUGAUGGCAAGGGAUUGAUUUUUUGCAUCAAGAAUGUCUGGCUUCUCCCCCCCCCCCUCCUCUUCUUUUACAGGUAGUUUUAGAAUUUCUUAUUUUAAAGGUUCAGAAUAUGCCAAAGGUAGGUUGAUAUUCCCUCAUCAAUUUUUUUGAUAUCAAGCUUUGAUAUAGGAUAUUUUUGAUAUAGGAAAUGCAUUCACAACGUACCAUACCUUUGACAGAGCAAGACUGUUAAUGAAGCUUCCUAUAGAUUUUAGAGAGAUAUUUCGGUUGAAUCUCAGGCAAAGGAUUGAGAGCUUUGUUCCACAAGUGGAUUGAUUUGAAAAUCUUUUGGCACUUGCCAAGAUAUCUUCAGACAUUUAACGUCCAUAGGACGGAUCGCUUUUGAGAAUUCUGGAAAGCACCGCGCAAAAUGACGAGAGCCAUUGAACGAAGAUCCCGUCAGCCCCCAGCAAACGAGGCAAACUCCCCUGUCCUAUCAUGGACCAGCAGAGCACACCGUACCGGAGCGACCAAAUCAGGAAACAAUGCACCCACUAGUCCACCCAAGCGCUGAAAAAGGCGACACUCCGCACUACCCGAAUUGAGCCGAAGUAAUAUUUACACCAGAAGAAAAAGACAGGAUUUUACUAACUAAAAUCAGCAAUUCUAAAAUAUGUCGCUUACAUCCCUAGUCAACGUGGCAUGGGACAUUAUCGCAUUGACUAGGAGUUACAUGACUAAGAGCAUAUUUUAAAAAGAGACCUCAAAAAUUAGUUCCUUCACAUAAUCUAAGCCGUUAUAUUAAGAAGCAACACCGGAUAAAACACAGGGAUUAAACACUAAGUAGAAACCACAAGAAAAACUAAAAAGUUUCA